CCCUUAGACGUUCUGGGCCGCACGCGCGCUACACUGACCAGUGCAACAAGCAUCCGUCCUUGGCCGACAGGCCCGGGCAAUCUUUGAACGCUGGUCGUGAUGGGGAUAGACUUUUGCAAUUUUUGGUCUUCAACGAGGAAUUCCUAGUAAACGCAAGUCAUCAACUUGCAUUGAUUACGUCCCUGCCCUUUGUACACACCGCCCGUCGCUCCUACCGAUUGAAUGAUCCGAUGAAUAUCAUGGAUUGAGGAUGCAAGUAGGUUCACCUAUCUUCAUCUUCGAGAAGUGAAGUAAAUCUUAUCAUUUAGAGGAAGGAGAAGUCGUAACA
rnacentral:rRNA from 1 species